rfam:Picea glauca, whole genome shotgun sequence.
UUAUGUAUUCCUACAAUUUUAAUGCACCAUAUCCCAUCAAAAAUCCACAAUUAAGCACACUUGGGCUAGUGUAGUACUGUGAUGGGUGGUCGCCUAUGAAGUCCUAGUGUUUUGCAUGCC